GAAAUGCGAUAAGUAGUGUGAAUUGCAGAAUUCAGUGAAUCAUCGAAUCGUUGAACGCACAUUGCGCCCUUUGGUAUUCCUUAGGGCAUGCCUGUUUGAGCGUCAUUUAAACCUUCAAGCUCAGCUUGGUGAUGGGUGACUGUCCUCCCCUCGCGGGGGGGACUCGCCUCAAAAACAUUGGCGGCCGGUACAUUGGCUUCGAGCGCAGCAGAAACGCGGUCUCGAGUCCGGUGGAUCGGCUCCCAUAAGCCUUCUUUUUUAUUUUGACCUCGGAUCAGGUAGGGAUACCCGCUGAACUUAAGC
rnacentral:misc_RNA from 1 species